rnacentral:lncRNA from 1 species
UAGCUAUUAUAGGUCUUAUGUAAGUGGAACAAUCUGUCACUACAGUCAUCGCGCACCGAUUUGAAUUCAUUAAGAAAGCUUAUAUUUAAAAAAAACUGCAUUAAAAGUUAGUUGCACAAAAUUUAAAAAACAUCACCCGAAAAAUGUUCUAUUCUGUAUUUCACAUAAAACAAUGAGAAUGAGAUUACGAAAUAAACUGUAAUCACCAAUUACUGAGCAUAGGUAUGAUUAUCAUAUGAUUGUCGUGUAUUGUAUUUUGACAGAAUUUAAUAAUCUCGGAGGCUUCGAUACAGAUUGAAAAGAGAGACUAUGAGUGUUUAUAGAUAGAGAAAGAUCCAAGAGUGACGGCAUACCUUACUACUGAGCAGAUACUCGAUGAAUUAAUAAUGUUAUGAGAAGUUCAUAGCAACAUUUGUUAUUCAUCCUAUACUUUGUAGCCCUGACCCAAAACACUGUUGCUAGGCGGUGCUGACUGUUACAUUCCGGUCGCCUCACCCUUACUUGACCUACCAUCCGGAUGGAGUCCAAUGACGAAGAAACGAUAUUUUGGAAAUAUAUUUUGAUUCGGAUAGGAACUCUGAUAAUGGAAAAAUAAAGCCCCAGAAAGAAAAUUUUUCAACUAGGAGUGACUAUCAAUCUUCAAGCAAUUAGGAUUUCUCGUGUGUUUUUGGCACUUAAGCUACGCUGUAAAUCAAAAGUAUAUAUUUUAAAAGUUUAAAAAGGUGAAUGAAUUUACAUUCUGUCCUUGAUGACAAAUCAGCAACGGUUAAAUAAACCAGCUGCGAAAAUAGAAAGUUUCCCGUACUGGUCAUUGGCCGAUAUCCGUUCUAUAUUAGAACGCAUGAAUGUUUCUCCUCAAGACACACGUGUAAGGUGGAUAAACCCUCCUAAGAUCACCAAUUGAACUAAUUGUCAGACUCUUUUUCCAAUAAA